AUGAUCUAUUAAGUGCGCGGAGAGACGAGGUUAAUCCACAUUUUUCCCUGCUAUAUAUACUACAAUUAUUACAAACGUACAUGUUUUUCUCGAUUGACGAGUUUUGUAUCUUAAAAAUAUUCCACUACUUUGAUGCAGAAUAGUAUUGCAUUAGAAUAACCUACAUGCAGCGAGCGAACUACAUCAACUACAACUUACUCAUUAAGCUAUCUCUGUACAGUUGCAUUUUUUUUCGGUCUCCCAAUCUUAUUUAUAGAAUAUUUAGUUAUUGUGAAAGUGAUACAAGAA
rnacentral:lncRNA from 13 species